rnacentral:rRNA from 1 species
AUUGAACGCUGGCGGCAGGCCUAACACAUGCAAGUCGAGCGGAUGACGGGAGCUUGCUCCUUGAUUCAGCGGCGGACGGGUGAGUAAUGCCUAGGAAUCUGCCUGGUAGUGGGGGACAACGUUUCGAAAGGAACGCUAAUACCGCAUACGUCCUACGGGAGAAAGCAGGGGACCUUCGGGCCUUGCGCUAUCAGAUGAGCCUAGGUCGGAUUAGCUAGUUGGUGGGGUAAUGGCUCACCAAGGCGACGAUCCGUAACUGGUCUGAGAGGAUGAUCAGUCACACUGGAACUGAGACACGGUCCAGACUCCUACGGGAGGCGGCAGUGGGGAAUAUUGGACAAUGGGCGAAAGCCUGAUCCAGCCAUGCCGCGUGUGUGAAGAAGGUCUUCGGAUUGUAAAGCACUUUAAGUUGGGAGGAAGGGCAGUAAGCUAAUACCUUGCUGUUUUGACGUUACCGACAGAAUAAGCACCGGCUAACUCUGUGCCAGCCGCCGCGGUAA